ACGUCGGCGGCUGUCGCAAAUCGUAAGACCUUCUUCGCGAUGCGCGCGAUAAUAUUUGGUGGUCAAAAUUUCUCAAGAAAACAAUGCCCAAAAAACCUGCUGUGUUUGGUCGUUCUGAAGACGAUGGAUCAGAUAUUGUCCAGGCAAGUAAUAAAUCAAAUAACCGCUCUCGAUGAGUCAAAAAAAGCAUCUUAAGGCAGAGCAUGUUGAACCUUGAGGUUGAUGGGCAUAAUCAGGCAAAAGUAGGUAUCUUAGAUGAUCAUGGACACCCAAACACCCCUGUGUUAAAAGGCCACGUUGAUGUAAUAUUGUGAAAAUUAUGAUUUUGAACCAAUUUAUUUGUAUGCUUGUGUUUUGCGUUAAGAACAAAAUCUUGUAACGGUUUUAUGAAUAUAUAAAAUACAUUUAUGAGUUGAGAUUAUGUAUUUAUUUUGUGCAAAUAAGAAAUAAUUACAUUAACAGAGAAAGAAAACACCCAUGCACAGGCAAAAGAAAAGGCAUCCCAGGGUUUGGAAAUCCCACACCUACUCUACAGCCUGGAUUCAAUCAGAAGAGACAUUAAAUACUACCAUUGUACCCAUAUAUUUUGUAUGUUUGGUCUUUUUCUCUUUUUAGAAAUACUGGGCAUUUCUGUGUAUUCAUGAUCAUGAUUUCCUUUUUUUUUUUUUUUUUUUUUUUA